UACGUAGGGGGCUAGCGUUGUCCGGAAUCAUUGGGCGUAAAGCGCGUGUAGGCGGUUCGGUAAGUCCGCUGUGAAAGUCGGGGGCUCAACCCUCGGAUGCCGGUGGAUACUGUCGGACUAGAGUACGGAAGAGGCGAGUGGAAUUCCUGGUGUAGCGGUGAAAUGCGCAGAUAUCAGGAGGAACGCCAAUGGCGAAGGCAGCGCGCUGGGACGGUACUGACGCUGAGACGCGAAAGCGUGGGGAGCAAACAGG
rnacentral:rRNA from 1 species